rnacentral:rRNA from 1 species
GUGGGGAAUAUUGGGCAAUGGGGGCAACCCUGACCCAGCGACGCCGCGUGAGGGAAGAAGGCCUUAGGGUCGUAAACCUCUGUUGUGUGGGAAGAAGGAAGUGACGGUACCACACGAGGAAGUCCCGGCUAACUACGUGCCAGCAGCCGCGGUAAUACGUAGGGGACGAGCGUUAAUCGGAAUUACUGGGCGUAAAGGGCGCGUAGGCGGACAUUUAAGUCAGCUGUGAAAUGGUCCGGCUAAACCGGAUCAUGCGGUUGAAACUGGAUGACUGGAGUGCUGGAGAGGCAAGUGGAAUUCCCAGUGUAGCGGUGAAAUGCGUAGAUAUUGGGAAGAACACCGGUGGCGAAGGCGACUUGCUGGCCAGCAACUGACGCUGAGGCGCGAAAGCCAGGGGAGCAAACGGGAUUAGAAACCCCGGUAGUCC